rnacentral:rRNA from 1 species
AGAACGAACGCUGGCGGCAUGCCUAAUCCAUGCAAGUCGAACGAAGGCUUCGGCCUUAGUGGCGCACGGGUGCGUAACGCGUGGGAAUCUGCCCCUUGGUUCGGAAUAACAGUUGGAAACGACUGCUAAUACCGGAUGAUGACGAAAGUCCAAAGAUUUAUCGCCAAGGGAUGAGCCCGCGUAGGAUUAGCUAGUUGGUGAGGUAAAGGCUCACCAAGGCGACGAUCCUUAGCUGGUCUGAGAGGAUGAUCAGCCACACUGGGACUGAGACGCGGCCCAGACUCCUACGGGAGGCAGCAGUAGGGAAUAUUGGACAAUGGG